rnacentral:misc_RNA from 1 species
GGCGCUACGGUCGUAAAUGGGUCCUUUAGGCCAAGGAGCUAGCUAUGUGACUGGACACUGCACCGAGAACAACGAAUGUCGCCCACCACAUGCAGGUGCCCGACACAGUAUGGCGGCAGCCCCAACUUCAGCCCACCAUGCCAUGAGGCAAGGGGAGCCAAACACCACGUCCAUACCCAAGGGAUGGGUUGGGAGUGUCUUUUGGCGUGACGCCCAGGCAGGCGUGCCCUCGACCAGAAGGCCUCGGGCGCAACUUGCGUUCAAAAACUCGAUGGUUCGCGGGAUUCUGCAAUUCACACCAGGUAUCGCAUUUUGCUACGUUCUUCAUCGAUGCGAGAGCCGAGAUAUCCGUUGCCGAGAGUCGUGUGGAUUUAUAUAGCAACAUUGCAUGGGACAUGCGCAGCAGGCCGAACAUGACCCCAAGCAAGGCAAUAUCAGUGUUCCUUGACGCCUUUGGCGCCGUGGGUUCUUUGGCGGUCCCCCUCCGACGUAGCGAAGGUGGGGGGCCUAGGUCGGACCGUAGUCCAACGACAUGGAUGACACGUUCACGGUCUGUUUUGUUUAAGGGUCACGACAAUGAUCCUUCCGCAGGUUCACCUACGGAAACCUUGUUA